rnacentral:misc_RNA from 1 species
UUAAGUUCAGCGGGUAUCCCUACCUGAUCCGAGGUCAACCAUAGAAAAUUGGGGGUUCUGGCGGAUGGACCUCCGGACCCUAUAGCGAGAAAAGUUACUACGCUUAGAGCCGGAAGGCACUGCCACUGAUUUUAAGAACUGCCAGAAGGCAUGCUCCAACACCAAGCUAGGCUUGAGGGUUAUAAUGACGCUCGAACAGG